UGGGGAAUAUUGCACAAUGGGCGCAAGCCUGAUGCAGCCAUGCCGCGUGUGUGAAGAAGGCCUUCGGGUUGUAAAGCACUUUCAGCGAGGAGGAAGGUGGUGAGCUUAAUACGCUUAUCAAUUGACGUUACUCGCAGAACAAGCACCGGCUAACUCCGUGCCAGCAGCCGCGGUAAUACGGAGGGUGCAAGCGUUAAUCGGAAUUACUGGGCGUAAAGCGCACGCAGGCGGUUUGUUAAGUCAGAUGUGAAAUCCCCGGGCUCAACCUGGGAACUGCAUUUGAAACUGGCAAGCUAGAGUCUCGUAGAGGGGGGUAGAAUUCCAGGUGUAGCGGUGAAAUGCGUAGAGAUCUGGAGGAAUACCGGUGGCGAAGGCGGCCCCCUGGACGAAGACUGACGCUCAGGUGCGAAAGCGUGGGGAGCAAACA
rnacentral:rRNA from 1 species